GUCGAGCGAGAAAGUCCCGGCAACGGGAUGAGUACAGCGGCGAACGGGUGAGUAACGCGUGGGUAAUCUGCCCUCCAGCUCGGGAUAACCUGCCGAAAGGUGGGCUAAUACCGGAUGAUGUUCCCGUGGGGAUCCUGCGGGAAGCAAAGGGGGCGAGCGUAAGCAGCUCUCACUGGAGGAGGAGCCUGCGUCCGAUUAGCUAGUUGGUGGGGUAAUGGCCUACCAAGGCGACGAUCGGUAGCCGGCCUGAGAGGGCGACCGGCCACACUGGAACUGAGACACGGUCCAGACUCCUACGGGAGGCAGCAGUGGGGAAUCUUGCGCAAUGGGCGAAAGCCUGACGCAGCGACGCCGCGUGGGCGAUGAAGGCCUUCGGGUCGUAAAGCCCUGUCGGGUGGGACGAAUCUCCUGGUGGCGAAUAACCACCGGGCUUGACGGUACCACCGAAGGAAGCCCCGGCUAACUACGUGCCAGCAGCCGCGGUAAUACGUAGGGGGCGAGCGUUGUUCGGAUUUACUGGGCGUAAAGCGCGCGUAGGCGGCCUGAUAAGUCGGAUGUGAAACCCCUCGGCUUAACCGAGGAUCCGCACCCGAAACUGCCAGGCUUGAGUCUAGGAGAGGAGAGCGGAAUUCCCAGUGUAGCGGUGAAAUGCGUAGAUAUUGGGAGGAACACCAGUGGCGAAGGCGGCUCUCUGGACUAGUACUGACGCUGAGGCGCGAAAGCUAGGGGAGCGAACGGGAUUAGAUACCCCGGUAGUCCUAGCCGUAAACGAUGGGCACUAGGUGUGGGAGGUAUCGACCCCUCCUGUGCCGCAGCUAACGCAUUAAGUGCCCCGCCUGGGGAGUACGGCCGCAAGGUUGAAACUCAAAGGAAUUGACGGGGG
rnacentral:rRNA from 1 species